UACAGAGGGUGCGAGCGUUGUCCGGAAUCACUGGGCGUAAAGGGCGCGUAGGUGGCGCCGCAAGUCCAUGGUGAAAGCUCGAUGCUCAACAUCGAGUCGGCCACGGAGACUGCGGGGCUCGAGCACUGUAGGGGCAGAUGGAAUUCCGGGUGUAGCGGUGAAAUGCGCAGAUAUCAGGAAGAACACCCGUGGCGAAGGCGGUUCUCUGGGACGGUACUGACGCUGAGACGCGAAAGCGUGGGGAGCGAACAGG
rnacentral:rRNA from 1 species